AGGAUAAUAGUUAAAAAUAACAUUUGAUUUGCAUUCAAAAAUUAUUAAUUUUAAACUAUUAAUUUGUCUUA
rnacentral:tRNA from 1 species